GAUGAACGCUAGCGGCAGGCUUAACACAUGCAAGUCGAGGGGUAGAGGCUUUCGGGCCUUGAGACCGGCGCACGGGUGCGUAACGCGUAUGCAAUCUGCCUUGUACUGGGGGAUAGCACAGAGAAAUUUGGAUUAAUACCCCAUAGUAUUUUCGGUUGGCAUCAACUGAUUAUUAAAGUUUUUCGGUACAAGCUGAGCAUGCGUCCCAUUAGCUAGUUGGUAUGGUAACGGCAUACCAAGGCUACGAUGGGUAGGGGUCCUGAGAGGGAGAUCCCCCAAACUGGUACUGAGACACGGACCAGACUCCUACGGGAGGCAGCAGUGAGGAAUAUUGGUCAAUGGUCGCAAGACUGAACCAGCCAUGCCGCGUGCAGGAUGAAGCAUCUAUGGUGUGUAAACUGCUUUUGUACGGGAAGAAACACUCCUACGUGUAGGGGCUUGACGGUACCGUAAGAAUAAGGAUCGGCUAACUCCGUGCCAGCCGCCGCGGUAAUAC
rnacentral:rRNA from 1 species